rnacentral:rRNA from 1 species
CUUGACCUCAAAUCAGGUAGGACUACCCGCUGAACUUAAGCAUAUCAA